UACAGAGGUCCCAAGCGUUGUUCGGAUUCACUGGGCGUAAAGGGUGCGUAGGCGGCAAGGUAAGUCUGACGUGAAAUCUCCGAGCCUAACUCGGAAACUGCGUUGGAUACUAUCUUGCUCGAGGAAUGGAGGGGAGACUGGAAUACUUGGUGUAGCAGUGAAAUGCGUAGAUAUCAAGUGGAACACCAGUGGCGAAGGCGAGUCUCUGGACAUUUCCUGACGCUGAGGCACGAAAGCCAGGGGAGCAAACGGG
rnacentral:rRNA from 1 species